ACAAUACAUACUCUUCGUAAAAUUAUCAGUAUGUUCAAUUCCUCUUCUCAAAUGCCAUGUCUAUUAAAACUUCUGCGUGUGCAAUUACUUGCUGUGGGUUCUUUUUUGGCAAGUUGACCUGGCAGGAUCCUAUUAAACAAUUUCAAUUAUAUACAAGAAAUAGAAAUUUUGGAGACAAUCAUAUUAUUUUUACUGAUUAUAGACUAAGUUUACCUAACCAUAAAGGUAAUAACUACCACAUUGUAAAUUUUUAUUUCAUUUCUGUAAACUCUAUUAUAUUUUUGUCAGAAUAAAACAGGGUAAAGUCAAUUUGAUUAAACAAGUUACAAUUUGGAUAUAUAUAUAAAUGAAUUGCAGGUGGGGUGCAACACUUAACAUCAAGUCGCAGUAAUUAUUAAACCAGUUAUAAACUUUAUUCUCUUAAUAAUUUUAAAGUUAUCAAUUUUAAAAGAUACAUGUGUUAAUGAUUUUUUUCUCACCAUUAUGACUGUG
rnacentral:lncRNA from 1 species